GCGGAGGAAAAGAAACCAACAGGGAUUGCCCCAGUAACGGCGAGUGAAGCGGCAACAGCUCAAAUUUGAAAUCUGGCCCCCCCGGGGCCCGAGUUGUAAUUUGCAGAGGAUGCUUUUGGCGAGGUGCCUUCCGAGUUCCCUGGAACGGGACGCCGCAGAGGGUGAGAGCCCCGUCUGGUCGGACGCCGAGCCUCUGUAAAGCUCCUUCGACGAGUCGAGUAGUUUGGGAAUGCUGCUCUAAAUGGGAGGUAUAUGUCUUCUAAAGCUAAAUACCGGCCAGAGACCGAUAGCGCACAAGUAGAGUGAUCGAAAGAUGAAAAGCACUUUGAAAAGAGGGUUAAACAGUACGUGAAAUUGUUGAAAGGGAAGCGCUCACGACCAGACUUGGGCCCGGCGGAUCAUCCGGCGUUCUCGCCGGUGCGCUCCGCCGGGCUCCAGGCCAGCAUCAGUUCGCGCCGGGGGACAAAGGCUCGGGGAAUGUAGCUCCCCCGGGAGUGUUAUAGCCCCCUGCGCAAUGCCCCGGGGCGGACUGAGGCUCGCGCGUCCCGCAAGGAUGCUGGCGUAAUGGUCGUCAGCGACCCGUCUUGAAACACGGACCAAGGAGUUGUCUUCGUAUGCGAGUGUUCGGGUGUCAAACCCCCUACGCGUAAUGAAAGUGAACGCGGGUGAGAGCUUCGGCGCAUCAUCGACCGAUCCUGAUGUUCUCGGAUGGAUUUGAGUAGGAGCAUACGGGGCCGGACCCGAAAGAAGGUGAACUAUGCCUGUAUAGGGUGAAGCCAGAGGAAACUCUGGUGGAGGCUCGCAGCGGUUCUGACGUGCAAAUCGAUCGUCAAAUAUGGGCAUGGGGGCGAAAGACUAAUCGAACCUUCUAGUAGCUG
rnacentral:rRNA from 1 species